UGGGGAAUAUUGCGCAAUGGGCGAAAGCCUGACGCAGCGACGCCGCGUGAGGGAUGAAGGUUUUCGGAUCGUAAACCUCUGUCAGAAGGGAAGAAACCGCACUGUGCUAAUCAGCAGUGCCUUGACGGUACCUUCAAAGGAAGCACCGGCUAACUCCGUGCCAGCAGCCGCGGUAAUACGGAGGGUGCAAGCGUUAAUCGGAAUUACUGGGCGUAAAGCGCACGUAGGCUGCUUUGUAAGUCAGGGGUGAAAUCCCACGGCUCAACCGUGGAACUGCCUUUGAUACUGCUUAGCUUGAAUCCGGGAGAGGGUGGCGGAAGUCCAGGUGUAGGAGUGAAAUCCGUAGAUAUCUGGAGGAACAUAAGUGGCGAAGGCGGCCACCUGGACCGGUAUUGACGCUGAGGUGCGAAAGCGUGGGGAGCAAACAGG
rnacentral:rRNA from 1 species